rnacentral:rRNA from 1 species
CCACGGGUGAGUAAUGUCUGGGAAACUGCCUGAUGGAGGGGGAUAACUACUGGAAACGGUAGCUAAUACCGCAUAACGUCUUCGGACCAAAGUGGGGGACCUUCGGGCCUCACGCCAUCAGAUGUGCCCAGAUGGGAUUAGCUAGUAGGUGGGGUAAUGGCUCACCUAGGCGACGAUCCCUAGCUGGUCUGAGAGGAUGACCAGCCACACUGGAACUGAGACACGGUCCAGACUCCUACGGGAGGCAGCAGUGGGGAAUAUUGCACAAUGGGCGCAAGCCUGAUGCAGCCAUGCCGCGUGUGUGAAGAAGGCCUUCGGGUUGUAAAGCACUUUCAGCGAGGAGGAAGGGUUCAGUGUUAAUAGCACUGUGCAUUGACGUUACUCGCAGAAGAAGCACCGGCUAACUCCGUGCWSGCAGCCGCGGUAAUACGGAGGGUGCAAGCGUUAAUCGGAAUUACUGGGCGUAAAGCGCACGCAGGCGGUUUGUUAAGUCAGAUGUGAAAUCCCCGCGCUUAACGUGGGAACUGCAUUUGAAACUGGCAAGCUAGAGUCUUGUAGAG